rnacentral:rRNA from 1 species
GAUGAACGCUGGCGGCGUGCCUAACACAUGCAAGUCGAGCGAACGGACGAGAAGCUUGCUUCUCUGAUGUUAGCGGCGGACGGGUGAGUAACACGUGGAUAACCUACCUAUAAGACUGGGAUAACUUCGGGAAACCGGAGCUAAUACCGGAUAAUAUUUUGAACCGCAUGGUUCAAAAGUGAAAGACGGUCUUGCUGUCACUUAUAGAUGGGUCCGCGCUGCAUUAGCUAGUUGGUAAGGUAACGGCUUACCAAGGCAACGAUGCAUAGCCGACCUGAGAGGGUGAUCGGCCACACUGGAACUGAGACACGGUCCAGACUCCUACGGGAGGCAGCAGUAGGGAAUCUUCCGCAAAGGGCGAAAGCCUGACGGAGCAACGCCGCGUGAGUGAUGAAGGUCUUCGGAUCGUAAAACUCUGUUAUUAGGGAAGAACAUAUGUGUAAGUAACUGUGCACAUCUUGACGGUACCUAAUCAGAAAGCAACGGCUAACUACGUG